rnacentral:sRNA from 1 species
GACACAAGUGCAGUGGUGUUUACAACUAAUUGGUCAUAACUAGUUACAGUCUUCUUUGCUCCUUCUUCACUCUGACUGUUUCACUUGACUAGCCUAAA